AUGUUGACUUUCCUCUCUGCAAAUUUCCAUAAUAAAUCUAGAAGUUGUUCUGAAUAAUUAAGACAAUCCUGUUUUCUGACUAACCCCAAGAGACCAGCUCUGGAUUAAUCAGAGCCACGAUGAUCUAGUCCCAACGCAGAGGGAGAGACCAAAGUACCUGAAUUUGAAGCUUCAGCCUGAGACGCUGCCAUCUUGGCAGGACUCAAGUCAGCCUCUGAUCAGACCGGCAAUAUCAUGCAGCAUUUUGUGCUCAAUCCCAAGUGCAGGAAGAAAAAUCUUUUCAGAGAAUCAACACAGCCAGACGGAUCCAGCAGCAUAGCCAUUUCUGGGUGCCCAUUAUCUCAGGGGUGGGGGCAAUAGGCUUUUGGGAACAGAUAUGAAAAUCCUUGUCCAGCGUGGCUGGAGGAAACAAGCCUUGUGGUUGCUUAACAAAUGCUAAUAUACAGAUUGAGUGGCAACAGAGGAGAUAUCCCACAUCCUCUCUUUCUACAGCAAAGGUCACCAUCACAAGUGCCCCAAAACACAGCCAUAGAAAUCCAGCCCUGUUUGCCCACAUCGAAACAAUAUAUGUCUAGCCCAGUUACUAUUGGGGUUUCACGCAUCUGUAACACUGGCAUUCAACUGUCACCCUAUUCUGUACAUUAGCAUGCUGUGCCUAUUCCCAGCAGUGCGGCCGAGCCUCCAUGGUAACGCUCUUCAGGGUGCUCUGGAUGGUUUUAAUUAUUAAAAUGAAGAAUUCUUACCAACACAUUUAAUUGGGAAAUAUUACAUGUUAAAGGGGCACUAAUGGAACAGCUCAGCGAAUCGAGCAAUGUGAUAGAGAAAGCUUUUUGAUGUGAAUUUUAGCAAUGCUUUCCUCAUCCCAUCACAUCAUUAAUUAUUCAGUUGCAUUAAAAACAAAAUCAUGUAAUUUCAUUUAUAGACCACUAUAAAAGUAAACCUUUGAAUCACCUGCACAAACCUGGAAUACCAUAGGCUGGAUGGGGAACAAAGCACUGAAUUUCCCACAUAAAUGACCGUCUAUGACCCCUGGGAAGACAGUUCAGUUUGGCCAUGAGAAUCAAAUCAGCAUAAUUAUGAAGCUUUGUAGUGUAGCUUGGUAUAUUAGAGUGACCCUCUCUCUGGAAAUCUGCAUUUUGUACUUCUACUAGAACUAUUAAAGUAGAAGUAAAGAUACAAAACUGCAGCUAUAUUUUGCCACCUCUGAGUACAGUAGAAAUAGAAAACUUCCCUUCAGGAAGUUUCCAAUUUAAUGGGGGAGACAGGCAAAAUAACUAUAGAUAUGAAAUAGAAGAGACUCAAAAGAUGGAUAUGUGGAAAGAAAAAACAGAAGAGUAUGGAAAUUGAUACAUACAAA